rnacentral:rRNA from 1 species
GGCGGCAGGCUACACAUGCAAGUCGACGCGGUAACAGAGAGAAGCUUGCUUCUUUGCUGACGAGCGGCGGACGGGUGAGUAAUGCCUGGGAAUAUGCCUUAGUGUGGGGGAUAACUAUUGGAAACGAUAGCUAAUACCGCAUAACGUCUUCGGACCAAAGAGGGGGACCUUCGGGCCUCUCGCGCUAAGAUUAGCCCAGGUGGGAUUAGCUAGUUGGUGGGGUAAAGGCUCACCAAGGCAACGAUCCCUAGCUGGUCUGAGAGGAUGAUCAGCCACACUGGAACUGAGACACGGUCCAGACUCCUACGGGAGGCAGCAGUGGGGAAUAUUGCACAAUGGGGGAAACCCUGAUGCAGCCAUGCCGCGUGUAUGAAGAAGGCCUUCGGGUUGUAAAGUACUUUCAGUCGUGAGGAAGGGUGUGUAGUUAAUAGCUGCGCAUUUUGACGUUAGCGACAGAAGAAGCACCGGCUAACUCCGUGCCAGCAGCCGCGGUAAUACGGAGGGUGCGAGCGUUAAUCGGAGUUACUGGGCGUAAAGCGCAUGCAGGUGGUUCAUUAAGUCAGAUGUGAAAGCCCGGGGCUCAACCUCGGAACUGCAUUUGAAACUGGUGAACUAGAGUACUGUAGAGGGGGGUAGAAUUUCAGGUGUAGCGGUGAAAUGCGUAGAGAUCUGAAGGAAUACCAGUGGCGAAGGCGGCCCCCUGGACAGAUACUGACACUCAGAUGCGAAAGCGUGGGGAGCAAACAGGAUUAGAUACCCUGGUAGUCCACGCCGUAAACGAUGUCUACUUGGAGGUUGUGGCCUUGAGCCGUGGCUUUCGGAGCUAACGCGUUAAGUAGACCGCCUGGGGAGUACGGUCGCAAGAUUAAAACUCAAAUGAAUUGACGGGGGCCCGCACAAGCGGUGGAGCAUGUGGUUUAAUUCGAUGCAACGCGAAAAACCUUACCUACUCUUGACAUCCAAAAAACCAGCGGAAACCCAGGUGUCCUUCGGAACCCUGAAACAGUGCUGCAUGCUGUCGUCACUCCGUGUUGUGAAUGUUGGGUUAGUCCCGCACGACCCAACCUUAUCUGUUUGCACCGAUUAU